GACGAACCGUGCGAACGUUAUUCGGAAUCACUGGGCUUAAAGCGCGUGUAGGUGGGCCGGCACGUCCGACGCUGAAAUCCCCCGGCUCAACCGGGGAAGUGGCUCGGAUACGACCGGCCUCGAGGGACGUAGGGGGACCUGGAACUUCCGGUGGAGCGGUGAAAUGCGUUGAGAUCGGAAGGAACGCCCGUGGCGAAAGCGAGGUCCUGGACGUUUUCUGACACUGAGACGCGAAAGCCAGGGGAGCGAACGGG
rnacentral:rRNA from 1 species